GGCCGCUUAGCUCAGCUGGUAGAGCACUACGCUCACAUCGUAGGGGUCGCUGGUUCGAGUCCAGCAGCGGCCA
rnacentral:tRNA from 1 species